rnacentral:rRNA from 1 species
UGGGGAAUUUUCCGCAAUGGGCGAAAGCCUGACGGAGCAAUGCCGCGUGGAGGAUGAAAGCCUGUGGGUCGUAGACUCCUUUUCUCAGAGAAGAAGAUCUGACGGUACCUGAGGAAUCAGCCUCGGCUAACUCUGUGCCAGCAGCCGCGGUAAGACAGAGGAGGCAAGCGUUAUCCGGAAUUAUUGGGCGUAAAGCGUUCGUAGGUGGUCUAACAAGUCUGGGGUUAAAGCCCGGAGCCCAACUCCGGAUCGGCCUUGGAAACUGUCAGACUCGAGUAAGGUAGGGGUUGCGGGAAUUCCCGGUGUAGCGGUGAAAUGCGUAGAUAUCGGGAAGAACACCAGCGGCGAAAGCGCGCAACUGGGCCAUUACUAACACUGAGGGACGAAAGCUAGGGGAGCGAAAGGGAUUAGAUACCCCUGUAGU